UGCUGCUGCUGCUGCUGCUGCUGCUGCUGCUGCUGCUGCUGCUGCUGCUGUUGGAGCGCAGCAGCAGCAGCAGCAGCAGCAGCAGCAGCAGCCGUC
rnacentral:pre_miRNA from 1 species